rnacentral:rRNA from 1 species
GACAGAGGAUGCAAGCGUCAUCCGGAAUGAUUGGGCGUAAAGCGUCUGUAGGUGGCUUUUUAAGUCCGUCGUCAAAUCCCAGGGCUCAACCCUGGACAGGCGGUGGAAACUACCAAGCUGGAGUACGGUAGGGGCAGAGGGAAUUUCCGGUGGAGCGUGAAAUGCGUAGAGAUCGGAAAGAACACCAACGGCGGAAAGCAACUCUGCUGGGCCGACACUGACACUGAGAGACGAAAGCUAGGGAGCGAAUGGG